UCAGCAAGGGGCCUUUGAGACUGCUGUUCUCUUCUCUAGGCCCCAAAAGACUCCUUCAUCAGGUGCCCACCCCGUGACUGGAAACCACAGGAGCAGCAGGAGACCAAGAGCUAAGUACUAUGAUUGGACCUGUCGAAAGGAAAAUAUAAUCUUAUGUUGCUAAACAUGUAUGCUUGAAGAAUGGGGAUAACCAUCUCUGCUUCCCAAAGCCAGGGUGAGGCUUAAGCACCUGAUGUCUAUGAGUGAUCAGUAGUUGAGUUGAAGAGCCGAGCUGGAAUUGUCUCUGUGUCCAGGUGCCUUCAAAUAUAGCUGUGAACUUGCCUAUGACACAGCCUCCAUGAAGGAACUCGCACAUCACUGUGGAGCGCAGCUCUCGUAUAGGACAGUCCUGCUGUCCUUCAGGCGGUCCUAGGCCUUGACUCAUGGCACUGGGGGCCCAUACACUUCCCUCAGGGCAGAGCCCAUCUUCUCUGCCACGUCCAGAGAAGCCCCAUGAGGCCAUUACUAACCUGCACAUCAGAACAAUGGCUUUGGAAUGCC